AUCUAAGACGGUGCUCCGAGUCGGAGGCGCUACAGCCGGCGAGGCCAGGCGCUCCGACCGACAGGGAGGAGCGGGAAACGGCUCCUCCUUCCGUGUUUGAAAAGGAGACACCGUGCGCGGUCC
rnacentral:ncRNA from 2 species